GUUUUCUCUUAAUUUUGAGUGUGAAUUCACAUUGCGAUAAGACGUGUCACGGUACUUGUCUAUCCCAAAUUCAUGUAUUUGGAUUUGAUGUUAUAUUUGUUUUUCUCGUGGGAUUUUGUCUGAUGCUUGGUCCGUUUCUGCGUGUGUUACAUUGUAGUGUUGUGUCGUUGUUCUCCUCUUAUAUUUAAUGCGUUUCCCUCAGUUUUAGUUUGUUACCUCGAUUUUGUUUUUUGUCCAUAGAUUUAUGAGUUUGAACAGCGGUAUACUACUGUUGCCUUUAUUUACAUU
rnacentral:lncRNA from 1 species